GGAUAACCUGCCCAAGGGUCCGGGAUAACCCCGGGAAACUGGGGAUAAUACCGGAUGGAUCACUAGUGCUGGAAUGCUUGGUGGUCGAAAGGUAACGCCCUUGGAUGGGUCUGCGGCGGAUUAGGUUGACGCCGGUGUGACGUACCGGCGUGCCUGUAAUCCGUACGGGUUGUGGGAGCAAGAGCCCGGAGAUGGAUUCUGAGACACGAAUCCAGGCCCUACGGGGCGCAGCAGGCGCGAAAACUCUACAAUGCAGGCAACUGCGAUAGGGGGACAUCGAGUGGCAUCCACCUUGGGUGCCUGUCCAACCGUCUAAAAAACGGUUGUUAGCAAGGGCCGGGUAGGACCGGUGCCAGCCGCCGCGGUAAUACCGGCGGCUCGAGUGGUGGCCGAUAUUAUUGAGUCUAAAGGGUCCGUAGCCGGCUUUGCAAGUCCCCUGGGAAAUCCAGCGGCUUAACCGUUGGGCUUUCAUGGGAUACUACAUUGCUUGGGACUGGGAGAGGUAGGAGGUACUCGAGGGGUAGGGGUGAAAUCCUGUAAUCCUUCGGGGACCACCGGUGGCGAAGGCGUCCUACCAGAACAGGUCCGACGGUGAGGGACGAAAGCUAGGGGCACGAACCGGAUUAGAUACCCGGGUAGUCCUAGCCGUAAACGAUGCCCGCUAGGUGUCACGACGGUCGUGAAUCGUCGUGGUGCCGUAGGGAAGCCGCGAAGCGGGCCACUUGGGAAGUGCGACCGCAAGGUUGAAACUUAA
rnacentral:rRNA from 1 species